CGGGUGAGUAAUACAUCGGAACGUGUCUUCUAGUGGGGGAUAACUGCCCGAAAGGGUAGCUAAUACCGCAUGAGACCUGAGGGUGAAAGCGGGGGAUCGCAAGACCUCGCGCUGGAAGAGCGGCCGAUGUCCGAUUAGCUAGUUGGUGAGGUAAAGGCUCACCAAGGCGACGAUCGGUAGCUGGUCUGAGAGGACGACCAGCCACACUGGGACUGAGACACGGCCCAG
rnacentral:rRNA from 1 species